AAAAAGCUUGCACAGCAAACAGAACACUAAGUGCAGGCACAAGGGUUUCAAGCCCUGAUAGUGCUCCCGACCUCAAGCACCGGUUCUGUUCUGCUCAGAUGGAGCCAGCAAACACUUGUGCUGACAGCUCCUCCUUUCACUCCCACUGAUGGCUGAGCUCCGGAGCCAAACAGAAGUUGCUCAUAAAUCUCGAGACCUAAAGGAAUGAGGAGCCUGGGUUAAACUGAAUUUCAGGAGGAUUUUUCACUUUGGUGACUGUAGCUGUAGGAGGAAGCAGUUUUUUGUAAGAGGAAGUGACUUAGUUUUCCAAUGGGCACAUCACAGCAGCCUGGUAACCUUCCAUGCUUCGGCAAAUCUGAAGUUUCUGCUCCUGAAGGAGUCCCCUCUAACAAAUGCAGUGGCUUCUGCCUGGGAGAAGUCUCAAAAGAAGAUCCAACUUGCCUGCAAUUUUUUCCUCCUGAAUAAAAAUUCUCUCCUGGAAAAUGUGA